rnacentral:rRNA from 1 species
UGGGCAGUUUUAGUGGGGCGCUAUCCUCCUAAAAAGUAACGGAGGAGUUUAUUAAGGUUGGCUAGGCGCGAAUGGAAACCGUGCCGAUAGUGUAAUGGCACAAGCCAGCUUGACUGUGAGGCGUACAUGCCGAGCAGGUGCGAAAGCAGAACAUAGUGAACCGACGGUCCGCUUUAGACGCGGCCGGAGAUUAUCGGACAAAAGCUACUCUGGGGAUAACAGGCUGGUUCCGCCUAAGAGUCCAUAUCGACGGCGGAGUUCGGCACCUCGAUGUCGGCUCAUCUUAUCCUGGGGCUGGAGAAGGUCCCAAGGGUUUGGCUGUUCGCCAAUUAAAAAGAUACGCGAGCUGGGUUCAGACCGUUCAGGCUUUAAGUUUUUAGUCAUUAGUUUAUAGUUGAUAGCAAGUUUUUCUUCGCUAAUAACUAUGAGCUAUAGCCUAUUUAACUUGAAAUUUGAACAGUCUGAACCCUUACGAGGAAUAUUAGUGUGAACCACGCACUAUCUGUUGAUCUCGAUCACGGCGGUCGUUCGUAGAAAUACGUGCGAUAAAAAGUUGACUAAUAUCGGUGGAGUCCUUCGAAAUUAAAAAUUUCUCAGGAUGAUACCUAGGGAACCCAUUCGAUUGCUACGCAAUCUCAGGGCGAGCCUUUGGCUCGUCCCGAGGAACGAAGUGACGAGGGACCCGUAGAGACUACACGUCAACCGUCUUCCUUCAUAAGAAAUUAUGAAAAAGAUGAAGCUAUAGUCCAUGCCCCGAGUAAUCGGGAGAAAACAUGCGUGAGACAGGUUGGUCUCCUAUCUACUGCAGGCGUUGAUUCUUGAGGGGAGUUCUGUCUAGUACGAGAGGACCGACAGGAACGGACCUCUGGUGUGUCUGCUGUCCUGCCAAGGGCACCGCAGAGUAGCUAAGUCCGGAAUGGAUAACCUCUGAAAGCAUCUAAGAGGGAAGCCAACCCCAAGAUUAGGAAUCGUUUGAGACCCCUAGGAGAUGACUAGGUGAUAGGCGUUAGGUGUACGCACCGUAAGGUGUUGAGCCGAGACGUACUAAUCCGUCGAUUCCAAUUAGGAA